UACGGGGGGGGUAAGCGUUGUUCGGAAUUACUGGGCGUAAAGGGCUCGUAGGCGGCCAACUAAGUCAGACGUGAAAUCCCUCAGCUUAACUGGGGAACUGCGUCUGAUACUGGAUGGCUUGGAUUCGGGAGAGGAAUGCGGAAUUCCAGGUGUAGCGGUGAAAUGCGUAGAUAUCUGGAGGAACACCGGUGGCGAAGGCGGCAUUCUGGACCGAUAUUGACGCUGAGGAGCGAAAGCGUGGGUAGCAAACAGG
rnacentral:rRNA from 1 species